rnacentral:rRNA from 1 species
AUUGAACGCUGGCGGCACGCCUAACACAUGCAAGUCGAACCAGCGGCGGACGGGUGAGUAAUGUCUGGGAAACUGCCUGAUGGAGGGGGCUAACUACUGGAAACGGUAGCUAAUACCGCAUACCAUCAGAUGUUCCCAGAUGGGAUUCGCUAGUAGGUGGGGUAAUGGCUCACCUAGGCGACGAUACCUAGCUGGUCUGAGAGGAUGACCAGGCACACUGGAACUGAGACACGGUCCAGACUCCGACGGGAGGCAGCAGUGGGGAAUAUUGCACAAGGGGCGCAAGCCUGAUGCAGCCAUGCCGGGUGUGUGAAGAAGGCGUUCGGGUUGUAAAGCACUUUCAGCGGGGAGGCGUUACCCGCAGAAGAAGCACCGGCUAACUCCGGGCCAGCCGCCGCGGUAAUAC